UGCUCGCUUCAGCAGCACAUACAUUAAAUUGGAACAAUACAGAGAAGAUUGACAUGGCCCCUGUGCAAGGAUGACAAGCAAAUUCGUUAAGUGUUCUGUAUUUUU